AGUCCAUGAUAUGUACAUAGUCUCAACAUAUCCUUGUACCUUUCCUAUGCUCCAAAAAGUGACUCUCCAUCUUUCAGUUUGAAUCCGUUAAUUUGGCUUCUUAGCAU